ACCAGGCGUGGUGGCGCACACCUGUAAUCCCAAUGACUCGGGAGGCUGAGGCAGGAGGAUUACAAGUUUGAGGCCAGCCUCAGCAAUUCAAUGAGACCCUCAGCAACUUAGCAAGACCCGGUUUCAA
rnacentral:sRNA from 1 species